CCUCUCAAACUUUUGUCUUUCUCUCACUUUCUCCUCUCUAAACUGACUGAUGGACAUGACUCAAUGAGCCGUGCUUGUAUUCAGCUGCUGCCUCCUUCUACAUCGCACCGGAAAAUGCAAAUCUGGAAUCCAGGUUGACAUUGAUCGCCUACGAUCCGAGUUGUGCUUACCGAAUGCAUCUUUGCUACCCUAAAAAUCGAGCUGGUGAGCUCUUACACACCACUAAACCCAUUCUAACUCACCCUUCUCUCUCCUUCGUCCACAAUCUUUGCUUAGAAAAACACAAAACCACUAACCCCUCUCAACUCUAAUUUGCUUGCUAUUGUAGUCAGGAGUGCCAGCGACACGCCCAAGUAGCUUUUGUGGAAUGCCCACCAAGUGUUUGAUGUUUUUCUUAUGAAAGAAAUGCUUUUGAUUGGGUUCUUUCGGCGCCCGGACCAAUAGCAGCUAGUAUUGCUUCAUUACGUAGCCUCCUCGGAGCAAUUGGCUCGAAUCAUCUUGACUAAUCUCCGAUGGCGGAUAGGUUAGCUGAGAGCUGGGUUUUGUGACGAAGGAAUGGUCACUAUGAUUGGCCGGAGUUUAAGGAAUGUUAGAGUGGCGAGGUUUGGCGGUGGAGAUGGAAGAAGAAAAGCAGGUGAGAGAAAGAAGGUGAGUUGGGUCGAGUUGAGAGAAAGAGGGCGAGUUGGUUGGAGGCUGGUUUGGCAUUUGGAGGUGAGAGAGAGAGAACGAGAAAACUUUUAAAGGGGUAGUUUAGGCCGUGUAAAAUCAAAACUGAGUAAAUAUAAUAAAAUUAUAAAUAGG
rnacentral:lncRNA from 1 species